rnacentral:rRNA from 1 species
UCAGGACGAACGCUGGCGGCGUGCCUAAUACAUGCAAGUCGAGCGGAGUUGAUUUGAAAGCUUGCUUUCAAAUCAACUUAGCGGCGGACGGGUGAGUAACACGUAGGCAACCUGCCCUUUAGUCUGGGAUAACUACCGGAAACGGUAGCUAAUACCGGAUAAUUCCUUCUGGCUCCUGCUAGAAGGAUGAAAGACGGAGCAAUCUGUCACUAAGGGAUGGGCCUGCGGCGCAUUAGCUAGUUGGUGAGGUAACGGCUCACCAAGGCGACGAUGCGUAGCCGACCUGAGAGGGUGAACGGCCACACUGGGACUGAGACACGGCCCAGACUCCUACGGGAGGCAGCAGUAGGGAAUCUUCCGCAAUGGGCGAAAGCCUGACGGAGCAACGCCGCGUGAGUGAUGAAGGUUUUCGGAUCGUAAAGCUCUGUUGCCAGGGAAGAACGUCCGGUAGAGUAACUGCUACCGGAGUGACGGUACCUGAGAAGAAAGCCCCGGCUAACUACGUGCCAGCAGCCGCGGUAAUACGUAGGGGGCAAGCGUUGUCCGGAAUUAUUGGGCGUAAAGCGCGCGCAGGCGGCUAUUUAAGUCUGGUGUUUAAACCAUGGGCUCAACCUGUGGUCGCACUGGAAACUGGGUGGCUUGAGUACAGAAGAGGAAAGUGGAAUUCCACGUGUAGCGGUGAAAUGCGUAGAGAUGUGGAGGAACACCAGUGGCGAAGGCGACUUUCUGGGCUGUAACUGAC